rnacentral:lncRNA from 1 species
GAGAUAUUUUUAAAGCAGGAUAAUCUUAUCCAGGGAAGGUUUCUGGCUGAAGUAACAAAGCAAGUUUUGUUAGAUCUUGAAGCAAGUAAAUAUCAGAUGGCCGAGUACAGGAUCUCUGUUUAUGGAAGAAAACAGAGCGAAUGGGAUCAGCUUGCAAGUUGGUUUGUGAACAAUGCUCUUUAUAGCAAGAAUGCCGUAUUUUGGUUUGGCUGCUAUUGUUGCAGCAUUAUUCUAUCUCUUUCUCUCAUGCCUGGUUUGGUGA